rnacentral:rRNA from 1 species
UGGGGAAUUUUGGACAAUGGGGGAAACCCUGAUCCAGCCAUCCCGCGUGUGCGAUGAAGGCCUUCGGGUUGUAAAGCACUUUUGGCAGGAAAGAAACGUCAUGGGUUAAUACCCCGUGAAACUGACGGUACCUGCAGAAUAAGCACCGGCUAACUACGUGCCAGCAGCCGCGGUAAUACGUAGUGUGCAAGCGUUAAUCGGAAUUACUGGGCGUAAAGCGUGCGCAGGCGGUUCGGAAAGAAAGAUGUGAAAUCCCAGAGCUCAACUUUGGAACUGCAUUUUUAACUACCGGGCUAGAGUGUGUCAGAGGGAGGUGGAAUUCCGCGUGUAGCAGUGAAAUGCGUAGAUAUGCGGAGGAACACCGAUGGCGAAGGCAGCCUCCUGGGAUAACACUGACGCUCAUGCACGAAAGCGUGGGGAGCAAACAGG